GACCCAGACCCAAGGAUGCAACACGGCCCUCUGCCCAGGUGAGCGCUGUGAGGACAGGGAUCGAGCCUCCCAGGACAGCUGUGCCAACAAGUGUCCUCGCAGCUGCACUGACCUAUGGGAGCAUGUGCAGUGUCUCCAAGGAGCCUGUCACCCGGGUUGUCGGUGUCCAGAAGGACAGCUGUUGCAAGAUGGCCGCUGCGUGCCAGUGACAGAAUGUCGUUGUGGUAUCCCAUCAGGCAACGGGAC